AAAAAUAUUUUCAGAUCUGAGACCGAUGCUGGACAGAGCUGUAGGGACAUCCUCCAACUUUAUAGCGAUGCUCUAACAAAAACUUGGUACAGUGGCGUACUUACAGGGGCUAAUUGUCAGGCAAAGUGUGUGGUGACUUUGAAAAAGACUGCAGUGCCAUGCCCGCUCACCCGCCCUCCACCAAGUCAAAAUAACACAAUCCACACUUUGAAAACUAUCCUGUUAUCACGGAGACCUCCAAUUCUAUCAGUUGACCAUUAAAGAAUGUCUAUCAAGCAUCCAGAAAAACAAUGAUUUGGUCAUUGCCCUCAAAGAACUGACCUAGACAGAGCCUAAUAGAAAAUACCAAGUAUUUUCUCCCUUACCUGGUUUCAUUUAAUUCCUACAACGCUGAGGUAGGUAUGGUCAUUAUCCCCUUCCUACAGGGGAAGAAACUAAGGCUCAGGGAGUAAAUAUUUUGCUACAAGUCACAGAACCAGUAAGUGGCAGAGCCAGGGCUUGAACCCUGGAGUCUAAAUCCUUGGGUACUGAUGGGCACCAUUUAGACCAGGAAGCCCAAACCUUAAGCUUGCUGUUCCAGUUUUUCUUACCAAAGGAAGGGUCCCCCAUUUCACUAAUACCAUUGACUUUUGAUUUCUCCGCUGAUCCAGGAUGAAGAGCCUGGUACCUUAUGCCACAAUGAGGCUUUUAGAAGUGCUGCUGCGCAGUUUGGCAGAGGGACCAGCGCCCCGUGCCUGCGCUUGGGAGCCAGGCUGACCCCUGGGUCUGCGAGCCAAACCUGCCCCAGUUCGCUCAGCACUUCCAACCGGUACCCCUCAGCUGCCAGGCCAGAAACCCACGAAGGGGCUCCAGCAGUCAGGGCCUGGGGAAGCAUCCCGACAGACGGAGGCGUGCGGGCCUGUCCGCUUGCUGCCCGGCCGCCCAGCCUGCUGCCCAGCCCCGGCCUCUCGGGUGGACGGGGCUCCAGCACCAACACCGCUUGGCCGGCCCCGCGCAGCCCCGAGCCCCCGCCUCUGGCUGCCGGCCCGCUCGCGGUGCUCACUGCGCGCUCUGGACCGGGCCCGCCUCUCGGCGGUUUUCGCUUUCGCUUUCCUGCCGAUAUAGUUGAGGAAAAUGAAAGUGGCCGUGGCCAGGACUGGCGAAGCUGCCGUCGGGGCGAGGGGCGCAGAGUGCGGCCGCGGCGGGUCUGGAGCCUGGAGCCUGGAGCCUGGAGCCUGGAACCCCGGCCGCAGCCAGCGCCGGGCGAGGCUUGGAGAGCAGCUAGGCCAGGAUGCAGCCUCUCCCCAAGGCCCUGCCCGUUUGAAGACUCACUCUGCAGGACCCCAACCCUCAAGGCUGGCAGAAAUGGCCAGGCAUGGGUGCACUCUGGGACCCAGUCUUUCCCAGACCAGGGAACUUUCUGUCCACUGCGUCCGCCAGCAGAAGGGUGAAAGAUGAGCGCCCCGAUCUUUGCCCUUGGUCCAAUCUACCGAGCUCCUUCGUGGUAUGCGAGAAUUGGGCGCCACCUCAAGGCUGUGGAGACAGCCCCUGCCCUUGGGGUAUUACCCACACCCUGGCAAGAGAAGAUGUAUGCCAGUUGCCCACAAGACCAGUUGUGUGGAACAAGCAUACGUGAGAGGAGGCACUAAGUGUUGAAAGUGACGAAAUCUGCAAACACUUGACUUAAUUUGAGUGACCGUGUUUUUGUAGCCAAUACCAAGAACCCUCUUCUACUCAACUUUUGUCUCAAAAGAAAGGAAUUCAGCCAAAUCACAUGGAUCUGAUCAUAACACCCAUUACUGAAACAAAACUGGAAUGAUCUUAACUUUGAAAAUAGCCAUCUGAAUUUGACAAAAGAUGACUCAACACCCUAAUUUUUAAAACCUGGAGUCCCCGCUCUGUCCCGCCCCAGAAGGGUGGUGGCAGCACGGCCUGGACUUCUCUGAACUGCAGGCAGGCCGGGGGCUGGACUGCAGGGAAUCAAGAAAAUGGACUCCCUUCUCCUGGGGACAUGAAUGCCAGCCACCAGCCAAGGUUCUCCAAGCUCUUCCAUUUGCCCCUCCAGAUCUGCUGCCAACCCUCUCCACCUGCUCUAUUCCCUGGGAGGCUGACCUGUAUGCUCUGCAUCAGCCCCUGCCUUGCCUCUGGCUUCUGACAUGUUUGGCCGAUGGCAAGUACUGGAAGGAGAUCAGCAGACACAGGAUUUUUUUUUUUCUUUUCAGGUGCCAGAGUUUGCAGUCUUUUGGAGGAAAAUGAUGUUUCAAGUUUCACAAUAAGAAAGAAAAGUGUGUGUCACAGUGUCAGCUCCUGCACUGGGCAGUGCUGUGGAUGGACAGAGCUGCAGAAGGAGCCCUUUUCAGAGCAGCUCUCAAGAGGCCACACAACCACAACUGUUACUGAGGAGCCUUGGAGGGAACUGAAGAUAAAGACCAAUAUGUAAUUUAGGAUUGGAAGACAUCCUUUGAUAUCUCACUACAGCGGCAAAGAUCAACCUGUGUGGGUGGAAACAGCCCGGAAGGCACCAUGGUCCAGGCCUGUCUGGACUUGAAGGGAUCGAAAGGGGCAAAGGACACAUGCAAAUGACCCCGCCCACGUUGUCCCCCAUAGAGUGCUGCAUCAGCUGGAGUUCCCAUCCUAGGAUUCCCUCUGCAGAUAUGCCUGCGUUUGUUGAUUAUCUGCCGUUAUGCGUGGCCCCUUCAGAAUACAAGGAAGAAGAUGGCCUUCUGCGGUGGCUGGGACGGGAGCCUACGGAGUGUAUAAUAAGGGAUGUAAGGCCACAGGAUGAGCUUUCCUGACUCUGUCCCCUAGGGGGCUGGCACUUUCUAAUGUUGAGAGCUUGUUUUAUUAAUCCUUAUUCCCCUGGCCCGGAAUCCGCCAUGCAUGACUCUUAAUAAACAUUUGUUGUGUGGGCAAGUGUGCAGAGUGUAUGUUGUAGAGAGUAAGGCCUCAUCUGGUCCCAGAGAGGCAGUCCACCAGGUUCCCUGCUUCUCUGGUCUAUUUCUCGAGAGCUGGCUUCCUUAGUGGGUGCCCAGGGCUGUAACCCACUGGCAGCCCAUCGGGAUUAAAGAUGACCCUCCGUUUUCGUCCCCCAGCUAAAUAUCACCCGUUUCCGCAGUUGUUUUAGAGCCCUCAGCAUUCUGUUUAUCCAGUCUGGAGAGGCAACAGAAGUAUGCAGAUGUGGUCUGAACAGGCAGAUCCAUGGAUGCAGAUGGAAAAUGUGGGUUUGUGUGCUUUGAUGUAUUCGAGCUGUGAUGGUGACAGCUGCUGGCAUGGCCUCCAACACAGCAGGAAGGUUUUGGGUUGCUUCUGAUCAUCUUUCUUCCUUUGGUGUUUGUUCUCAUGGCUUUUCCACAGAUACUUUUUUGAUGUAAAACUCCAUACGGUAAUCCUUUGUCACCUGUGUUAUAUUUCUCCUCAACUCUCCUGGAGACUUCCUGAAAACUGACUUAUGGUAGGCACUCCAUAGAUGUUAGCUCAUAGUAUUUACUUUAUUGUUUUAUUUUUGAAUGAACAAUCAUGGAUUCAGUCAUUAACCAGGCAUGUCCUAUAUGUCAGGCACACCUAGAUACCGGAAUAUAGCUGUGAUCAGAAUUGGCCUGUCCCUGCUCCCCAGAGGUCCCCGACACUCUGGGAAGACUUGUUGAUUGAAUGAUAAAUGCACUCAUUUGAAGUGAGCUGGUUGAACUCACUGUGAUCAACAUUGAUACCAUGAGAUAUGCCCUGGGUGGUCUCUAUAUGUUCAACUCGGAACACGCUGUCCCUGCCUUCCAGUGCUAGAAGGUGGGAGCUGAGGAAGACACCACUGUGAGAGUGAAAAAACAUUGGACUUGGAGGGAACUGACUAGAGAUCAGGUCCUAGCUCUGUCACAAACCCACUGUGUGACCAUGGAUGAGUUAACUUGAUCUUUCUGAGCCUCAGUUAUCAGUGAAAUGGGGAUAACAAUGCAUCCUCAGAGGCGAGAGAGGAUCAAAUAGGGUCACCACACUGCACAACUCCAGGGGGUGCUGUUCACAGUUUAGUCUAUGCCGCUGCUGGUUGCCUGGAAUUAAAUGAGAGUGCUUGUGCUGUGUGACCUGAAGUUAACAAUCAAUAAAGGGUAGCUAUUGUGCACACGUUAGAAGGAAGCAGGGGUCAUUGCAGGCCAGCAGGCUGCACAGGGUUUGGCCAGGCUUUGUUCUUCAAGGAAGGGCAGGGCUCUGAGAAGUGCAGACUGUGAUGCAGGCAAAUGCCAGGAGGCAGGGACUCCCAGGGCAGGUCUGGGAAAAGCGAGGCCGGUGAGGGAGGUGAGCUCGACCUCAAGGCCUGAGUAAGGACUUCGCUAGGGAACUGGAAACUGGGCAUAUCGCAGAGGUCGAGGAGACUAAGGUAAACAGUUACUGAGCUGCAAAGGAUCCUAGAGAGCAUCUCGUCCAGCGUCUUGUCUCCCCAGGCCAGCAGAGGCCCGGGAGGGAAAGAAGUGAGUCUCCAAGCUCCCACAGUAAGGACCAGGGCCAGGAUUCACACCCGUGCAGAAAUCCGCUCAAACGACUCCUCAAGCCCGGUUUGUGGCCCCACAAAAGGAAGUCCCUGGCACUUUUCAUAUGCAUAUAUAUAUAUAUAUAUAUAUAUACACAUAUAUAUAUUUUUCUGACUGUAAAAGUAAUUGUAGGUCAUUAUAGAGCAUUUUUAAGUAAUAGAAAUAUAAAGAAGAAAAUAGAAUCACCUAUAAUCCCACCACCAAAAGCAAUCACCAUUAGUAUUCUGAUGCAUUUCUUCCAGUAAGUAUUCCACAUAAAAUUAUACAUUGUAUAUUUAUUAGAUUGGAAUUGUGUUGUGUGUAGUUUCAUGUUCCAUCUUUUCCCUGUAAAAAUGGUGAGUGUUUUAUGAAAGGAGGAACGGUUUUAAUGCAAAAGAAAUUCUAGAAAACUUUAUCCUUAGCAAAAAAAAAAAAAAAAAAAAAAGCGCGAAGCCACAGUCUGUGGUGGUUGGGAGGACAUCCUGCGAGCUGCAGGGUGGCUCCUCUCACGUCCUGUGUGAGCUCUGAGGCUCUUUUCUCUCCUGGUCAGGCUGCAGCCUCCUAACUGCAGGCAGGACAGAGCUGAGGAGCCUGCACUCACCCUUUCUUCCCCAACACAGGAUGUGUGGUCAUCCACUCAUCCAAAGGCAUGUGGGGUUGUGAUUGUUACUGUUUAUUAACAACAGUAGCGUCUCAGCCUGUGCAGCACGUUUUCUCGGGUGUUAUCUCACACACCCUGUGAGGCAGGUAAGACAAAAGCUGUUAUACCCAUCGUACAGAUGGAGAAACUGAGGCUACCAGAGGUCUAGUGGCUUAUUUGAGGCUGCACAGCCAGCAAGUGGCAAAGCAGGGACUUUACACACAUCUGGCCAACAUCCAAUUUUAGUGAUUUGUCCUCUAAACAUUUUUCUCCUCUAGUCCUAGUUUUUCCUGAAGUAACCUGGAUCCCCAUAGUGAGGCCGAGGACUGAGAGUGCUGUGAGUAUUCUGUGUGUGAGGAAAGGACACAGAACCCUGCCCUGGGAGUCUUAAGCCAACCCCUGCAGGUCCUGACUGGAUGUGCUGGGUGGCCUGACCUCAGGGCAGCUCUUCCCUGACAACUCAGAGCCAGCACCAUUGGAGGUCGGGGGAGUGAGUUUAAGGAGGCAGCCAUUUCUGGUAGAUGUGUUCAGCAGAGGCACUAUUCUCUGGGCAUCUUUGUUGACCUACCCAAGCCGUGGAGGCCCACUCCCUACCCAUGGCUCAGGAGCCUCAGUGCCACCAGAACAAAACAGGCUUUGUGGCUCUGUGAAACUGACACUAACCAAGGGAUUUAUGGCAGCUACAUCCUCCCGGUGGCUUCUCAGCAUUGCUGCUGAAGCACGUACCAUAAACUAAGCCGCUUAAAACAGCACACAUUUAUUAUUUUAUAGUUCUGUGAGUCAGAAGUCCAAAAUGGUUCUUACUGGGCUGACGUCAAGGUGUCACAGGGCUGCAUUCCUUUCUGGAGCUCUAGGAGAGAAUCUGCUCCCCGCCCUUUCCAGCUUUUAGAGGCCACCUGCACACCUUGGUUUGCGGCUCCUUCCUCCACUUUCAAAGCCAGCAAGUUAAGGGUGGUCAAGCCUUUCACUCAAUGCCGUCUCUAUGGUUCUGAUUCUUCUGCCUCCUUCUUCUCCAUUUGAGGAACCUUGCGAUUACACUGGACCCAUCCAGAUAAUUCACUGCGUUCUCCUCUGGGUUCUCCAAGGGACCCAUCCUCAGGCAUAGACAGGGGGCCGGUCCAGACCACAAUCAGGAUAUGGCAGCCACUGUCAGAGAGAUCCUUUCUGCCCAGGUCCCCUCCCACCUGUCUGCUUCUCACUCAGCUCCACCUGUCCUGGCCUCCUCUUCUCCCAUCCUCUGCUCCCAGUUUUAGGUAGAGAGGAGCUAGGAAGGAAGAGCCAGUGGGUGUGGACACAGAGGAGGGGGAUAUAAAGCUGAAUGCACCAGGGCUCUUGGAGGCCCUGGGGGCUGAGCAUUUCCCACCUGGACCCUGCACUUUCCAAGGACUGGGGCGAGAGCCUAGCCUCUGAGGACUCAGACAUGGAGGUCUAAGGGUCACUGCAAUGCUUGAGGGGCAGGCGGCCAAGUCCUGAGCCCCUUCACCUCUGCAUGUCUGGCUGCCCUGGAUAGGCAGAGUUCACCUGGCCCCUUUCCUCAGGUGAUGACUGCCUGUCUGCCCUACUCAUGCCCUUUCUCCCAGGUCGCUUGGUGAGGGCGUUGGGGAUCUAAGGCCAGGCAGGAGGGCCUAUGGGCAGCAAGAGAGAGGGGAGCUGGACAAGGGCUUUGGCCCUCCAAGUAGAUUGACCAACUUGCCCCAGUCUGUCCAGAACUUUCAGUUUUAGCACUGAAAAUCCCACAUCCCAGAGACACAUUAGUCUAAGGUGAGCAAGGCCCUUUGCACCUCCUAAUCUAUUCUAGAUUACCUCUGCAGCCUGGACAGCUGGCUCUUUGGACUCUGGGAUGCCAACCUCUGUACAGAAUCUGGGCGCAGAGAAACCUGAGGAAGCACCCCAAGCCAGAGCCAGCGAAGUAGAGACUUCCACUUACCAUGUUCCCCGCAGAAGCAUCACUUGUGAAGACCACACCUAUGUCUGCAUGGGACAGAGCUCCUAGGUAUCUGUACAAGGCAAUGAAAAAUUGUAUUUGCACUCAUAUCUCUAAAACUGUAACAGCCUGAUUACUUCUGGGUGGUGUACUGCUGGUGGCUUUCAUUAAUGUUUCUAUUUAUUCAUCUGUAUUUCUUACUCUGUACAAUUAAACUAUGUUCCUUUUA